GUGAACGCUGGCGGUAGGCCUAACACAUGCAAGUCGAGCGGCAGCACAGUAAGAGCUUGCUCUUACGGGUGGCGAGUGGCGGACGGGUGAGGAAUACAUCGGAAUCUACUUUUUCGUGGGGGAUAACGUAGGGAAACUUACGCUAAUACCGCAUACGACCUACGGGUGAAAGCAGGGGAUCUUCGGACCUUGCGCGAUUGAAUGAGCCGAUGUCGGAUUAGCUAGUUGGCGGGGUAAAGGCCCACCAAGGCGACGAUCCGUAGCUGGUCUGAGAGGAUGAUCAGCCACACUGGAACUGAGGCACGGUCCAGACUCCUACGGGAGGCAGCAGUGGGGAAUAUUGGACAAUGGGCGCAAGCCUGAUCCAGCCAUACCGCGUGGGUGAAGAAGGCCUUCGGGUUGUAAAGCCCUUUUGUUGGGAAAGAAAAGCAGCAGGUUAAUACCCCGCUGUUCUGACGGUACCCAAAGAAUAAGCACCGGCUAACUUCGUG
rnacentral:rRNA from 1 species